rnacentral:misc_RNA from 1 species
GAUGAAGAACGUAGCAAAAUGCGAUAAGUAAUGUGAAUUGCAGAAUUCAGUGAAUCAUCGAAUCUUUGAACGCACAUUGCGCCCGCUGGAAUUCCGGCGGGCAUGCCUGUUCGAGCGUCAUUUCAACCCUCAAGCCCCCGGGUUUGGUGUUGGGGAUCGGCUCUGCCCUUCUGGGCGGUGCCGCCCCCGAAAUACAUUGGCGGUCUCGCUGCAGCCUCCAUUGCGUAGUAGCUAACACCUCGCAACUGGAACGCGGCGCGGCCAUGCCGUAAAACCCCAACUUCUGAAUGUUGACCUCGGAUCAGGUAGGAAUACCCGCUGAACUUAAGCAUAUCAAUAAGCGGAGGA